AGAUUUGAAGUUCUUUUUUUGCCUUUCGUGCGUGGAUUAAAAGGUAAAUUGAUGAGCCUUGCAGAUGCAUCAUAUGGUUCGUGGAUUCAGUGAUUCUGCGAUUGGUGUGACACUGAUUUGUUUGGUGACAAUGAUCCAACAGCAAUGGACACCAUGCCUCAACUAGCCACUGCCGCAUCCAAGAGGAAACCCUCCCCGGCGGCAGCGACGGCAAGACGCGGAAGGAAGCGGUGGAUGCACGGGUGGUUGUACGAGGCGAGGCCAGUGAUGGAUAGGUGGCAGCACACCGUUCAUCCUCUUUUAGUUGUUCUAUGAUGUUAUAUGUAGAUUAUACACAUUGCGUUCUAGCUGAUUACUUCGCACACAUGCAACGAUCUGAAGGUAUAUGCAUAUUUAUGUUUCUCAGAGUUAUGUUACCCAAUCCAUAGUAUUACUCAUAAGAGGGAGCUUUCUGAUGAAACUACAACUAAACACUACAGAGUCUUUAGAAGGUGAAAGUCUUAAUAUUCUUUCAGGACUAAUGGCAUUUGUAUGACAUUCAUUUACGUCCUGUUGUGGGAUGGAUUAAAGUAAAUUUACA